AUAAGCAGAAACCUGAACCGUAUCAGUUGCUAUAGCAACUGACAACUAAGCAAGGGUGCAUCUAAAGAGGAUGCUUGACCCCUUGGGAGGAAGUGGAAGUUUACAUGAGGGGCAGAAUGUUGAUCACUUAAGACAAGAGGCCCCACAUUAAGGGCACUGCAAGAUUACGAUCAAAUACCAGCAAAUAAAUCUAGGAAUGAACUUUACACUUGAGAAGACUGCACUCAUCGUUGUCUGCCGUUACAAGUUUUAACUAAGUUAUUGAAAGUGAAGGAAAGCCUUUCUGGGAUGGAGAUGUUUUUUGGCCGAUUCGCUACAAAAUCUGUUAAUUCACAUUAGGCAACUGAAAUGACUUUUCCAUGUUAUGUGAACACCUUGAAAUAGUACUGAGGUUUUAUUUCAUGGACAUUGUAUUUCAAUAAAAGUUUAACCAGGA